GAUGAACGCUGGCGGCGUGCCUAAUACAUGCAAGUCGAGCGAACAGACGAGGAGCUUGCUCCUCUGACGUUAGCGGCGGACGGGUGAGUAACACGUGGAUAACCUACCUAUAUGACUGGGAUAACUUCGGGAAACCGGAGCUAAUACCGGAUAAUAUAUUGAACCGCAUGGUUCAAUAGUGAAAGACGGUUUUGCUGUCACUUAUAGAUGGAUCCGCGUCGCAUUAGCUAGUUGGUAAGGUAACGGCUUACCAAGGCAACGAUGCGUAGCCGACCUGAGAGGGUGAUCGGCCACACUGGAACUGAGACACGGUCCAGACUCCUACGGGAGGCAGCAGUAGGGAAUCUUGCGCAAUGGGCGAAAGCCUGACGGAGCAACGCCGCGUGAGUGAUGAAGGUCUUCGGAUCGUAAAGCUCUGUUAUUAGGGAAGAACAAAUGUGGAAGUAACUAUGCACGUCUUGACGGUACCUAAUCAGAAAGCAACGGCUAACUACGUG
rnacentral:rRNA from 1 species